rnacentral:snoRNA from 1 species
ACACUGUUAAGAUUAUUGGUUAUUGUUUUAUAUAUUUUUUAAAAAGAGAAUAGAUAGGGCUCUGCCCUGUGAUGUACGAUUCCAUUCCACACGUUGGAGAUGAAGCCGGGCCUCGAACUUGCACCUACAUAUUCCUACAGCUUCUCAGAGUCCUAUGGACAAUGACUGAGGAGACAAGCCAUGCAGGAAACAGCU